GAACGCUGGCGGCACGCUUAACACAUGCAAGUCGAACGUAGUGGCAGACGGGUGCGUAACGCGUGGGAACCUGCCCUUUAGUAAGGAAUAACUCAGGGAAACUUGUGCUAAUACCUUAUAAUCCUAAUGGAUGGGCCCGCGUUAGAUUAGCUUGUUGGUGAGGUAAUGGCUCACCAAGGCGACGAUCUAUAGCUGGUCUGAGAGGAUGAUCAGCCACACUGGGACUGAGACACGGCCCAGACUCCUACGGGAGGCAGCAGUGGGGAAUAUUGGACAAUGGGGGCAACCCUGAUCCAGCGAUGCCGCGUGAGUGAUGAAGGCCUUAGGGUUGUAAAACUCUUUCGCUAGGGAAGAUAAGACGGUACCUAGUAAAGAAGAUCCGGCUAACUCCGUGCCAGCAGCCGCGGUAAUACGGAGGGAUCUAGCGUUAUUCGGAAUAACUGGGCGUAAAGCGAGCGUAGGCGGAUUUGUAAGUUGGAGGUGAAAUCCCAGGGCUUAACCCUGGAACUGCCUUCAAAACUACAUUUCUUGAGUUUGGUAGAGGAGAGUGGAAUUCCUAGUGUAGAGGUGAAAUUCGUAGAUAUUAGGAGGAACACCAGUGGCGAAGGCGACUCUCUGGGCCAAUACUGACGCUGAGGUUCGAAAGCGUGGGGAGCAAACGGGAUUAGAUACCCCGGUAGUCCACGCAGUAAACGAUGAGUGCUAGAUGUUGGUAUCGCAGCUAACGCGUUAAGCACUCCGCCUGGGAAGUACGGCCGCAAGGCUAAAACUCAAAUGAAUUGACGGGGACCCGCACAAGCGGUGAAUCAUGUGGUUUAAUUCGAAGCAACGCGAAGAACCUUACCGGCUCUUGACAAUUACAGGUGCUGCAUGGCUGUCGUCAGCUCGUGUCGUGAGAUGUUGGGUUAAGUCCUGCAACGAGCGCAACCCCUACCUUCAAUUGCCAGCAUAUGGUGGGAACUUUGAAGGAACUGCCGGUGAUAAGCCGGAGGAAGGUGGGGAUGACGUCAAGUCCUCAUGGCCCUUACGGGCCGGGCUACACACGUGAUACAAUGGUGAUUACAAAGGGCUGCUAAAGAGCGAUCUCAAGCAAAUCCUUAAAAGUCAUCUCAGUUCGGAUUGCACUCUGCAACUCGAGUGCAUGAAGUUGGAAUCGCUAGUAAUCGUAGAUCAGCGCGCUACGGUGAAUACGUUCCCGGGUCUUGUACACACCGCCCAUCACACCAUGGGAGCUGGUUAUACCCGAAGUCGUUACUCUAACCGACGCCUAAGGUAGAAUUAGUGACUAGGGUG
rnacentral:rRNA from 1 species